GCGGCCGGCAGUUAGGCUGGUGUUGGCGGCGGGGGAUGGCUGCUGGAGGUGGGGCGUCGUUGCCGUGGCAGCCCUUCUUCCUCCUCCAUGUCCCGCUUCUCUGCUCUCUGCUUCUCCCCUGCUACAGUAGAUGUCGGAAUUAACCGGAUGACCGAUCACCGUUGCAGGAGGAUACCAAGCAUCUCAGUGACCAUAGUGAAAAGGCUUCUCUUAGUGCUUGCUGUUGCUGAGAUGCUUCUCUUAGUGCUUGCCCUCCUGACGGAGCUUGAUCCAUGAUCAAAUCAAAUGCAAGCUAUAUUAGAGUAGGGAUAUCUGGUAUUAUUUCCAGUUCAGGUUUGCAUUACUUGAUGUUCUUGUUUUUUUUUUACUCUGAAGGAACUUGAUCUAUGAUCUUUUUAUCCUUGCAAAUUAGUUUCACGAUGCUCAAUGUUUUUAUUUUAUAACCUGGGCGAAUUUGUCCAUGAUUCUGCUUAUCAGUGGGGUGUAGCUAUGAUUGAAUAUAUCAUUACGCUGCUGCAAAUUGUCAUCUUACUAAGAGAAAAUUGACAGGCUAUAUAUUUUGAUGAUUGUGUU